AUUGAACGCUGGCGGCAUGCCUUACACAUGCAAGUCGAACGGCAGCGCGGGGGCAACCUGGCGGCGAGUGGCGAACGGGUGAGUAAUAUAUCGGAACAUACCCUAGAGUGGGGGAUAACGUAGCGAAAGUUACGCUAAUACCGCAUACGCACUAAGGUGGAAAGUGGGGGAUCUUCGGACCUCAUGCUCAUGGAGUGGCCGAUAUCUGAUUAGCUAGUUGGUGAGGUAAAGGCUCACCAAGGCGACGAUCAGUAGCUGGUUUGAGAGAACGACCAGCCACACUGGAACUGAGACACGGUCCGGACUCCUACGGGAGGCAGCAGUGGGAAUUUGGACAAUGGGGGGCAACCCUGAUCCAGCAAUGCCGCGUGAGUGAAGAAGGCCCUUGGGUUGUAAAGCUCUUUAGCGAGGGAAGAGGUAGAUACGGUGAAUAAUCGU
rnacentral:rRNA from 1 species